UACAGAGGUCCCAAGCGUUGUUCGGAUUCACUGGGCGUAAAGGGUGCGUAGGUGGCCGUGGAAGUUCGAUGUGAAAGCUCGGAGCUUAACUCCGAAAUGGCAUUGAAUACUCUACGGCUCGAGGGUCGGAGGGGAGACUGGAAUUCUCGGGUGUAGCAGUGAAAUGCGUAGAUAUCGAGAGGAACACCUGCGGCGAAGGCGGGGUUUUGCUGGGGCUGACACUGACGCUGAAGUGCGAAAAGCUAGGGGAGCGAACGGGG
rnacentral:rRNA from 1 species